CAAAGGCUUGGUCCUGACUUUAUUAUCAACUUUAGCCAAACUUACACAUGCAAGUAUCCGCACCCCUGUGAGAAUGCCCUAAUAGUUCCCCGCCCGGGAACAAGGAGCUGGUAUCAGGCACAACCCUAUUGAGCCCACGACACCUUGCUUAGCCACACCCUCAAGGGAGCUCAGCAGUGAUAGACAUUAAGCCAUAAGUGAAAACUUGACUUAGUUAAAGCUAAGAGGGCCGGUAAAACUCGUGCCAGCCACCGCGGUUAUACGAGAGGCCCAAGUUGACAAACACCGGCGUAAAGCGUGGUUAAGUUAAAAAUCAUACUAAAGCCAAACAUCUUCAAGACUGUUAUACGUAACCGAAGAUAGGAAGUUCAACCACGAAAGUCGCUUUAUCUGAUCUGAAUCCACGAAAGCUAAGGAACAAACUGGGAUUAGAUACCCCACUAUGCCUAGCCCUAAACAUUGAUAGUACAAUACACCCACUAUCCGCCCGGGUACUACGAGCAAUAGCUUAAAACCCAAAGGACUUGGCGGUGCUUUAGAUCCACCUAGAGGAGCCUGUUCUAGAACCGAUAACCCCCGUUCAACCUCACCCUUCCUUGUUUUACCCGCCUAUAUACCGCCGUCGUCAGCUUACCCUGUGAGGGACUAAUAGUAAGCAGAACUGGUACAACCUAAAACGUCAGGUCGAGGUGUAGCGUAUGGAGGGGGAAGAAAUGGGCUACAUUCGCUACCACAGCGAACACGAAUGAUGCACUGAAAUACACAUCUGAAGGAGGAUUUAGCAGUAAGCUGGAAAUAGAGCGUCCCGCUGAAACUGGCCCUGAAGCGCGCACACACCGCCCGUCACUCUCCCCAAAAGCCCCAAUCAGUUAACUAAAACCUAAUAAUCAAAAAGGGGAGGCAAGUCGUAACAUGGUAAGUGUACCGGAAGGUGCACUUGGUAAAAU
rnacentral:ncRNA from 1 species